UGGGGAAUAUUGCACAAUGGGCGCAAGCCUGAUGCAGCGACGCCGCGUGGGGGAUGACGGCCUUCGGGUUGUAAACUCCUUUCGCCAGGGACGAAGCGUUUUGUGACGGUACCUGGAGAAGAAGCACCGGCUAACUACGUGCCAGCAGCCGCGGUAAUACGUAGGGUGCAAGCGUUGUCCGGAAUUACUGGGCGUAAAGAGCUCGUAGGUGGUUUGUCACGUCGUCUGUGAAAUUCCACAGCUUAACUGUGGGCGUGCAGGCGAUACGGGCUGACUUGAGUACUGUAGGGGUAACUGGAAUUCCUGGUGUAGCGGUGAAAUGCGCAGAUAUCAGGAGGAACACCGAUGGCGGAGGCAGGUUACUGGGCAGUUACUGACGCUGAGGAGCGAAAGCAUGGGUAGCAAACAGGAUUAGAUACCCUGGUAGUCCAUGCCGUAAACGGUGGGCGCUAGGUGUAGGGACCUUUUGGGGUUUCUGUGCCGUAGCUAACGCAUUAAGCGCCCCGCCUGGGGAGUACGGCCGCAAGGCUA
rnacentral:rRNA from 1 species